rnacentral:rRNA from 1 species
UACUAGAGUAGCACUCGCAUAUCAAUAAGCGGAGGAAAAGAAACUAACAAGGAUUCCCCUAGUAACGGCGAGUGAAGCGGGAAGAGCUCAAAUUUGAAAUCUUAAAGGGUUUCCCUUUACGAAUUGUAGUUUAAAGAAGUGUUUUCUGUUGAGGUUUUGGUAAAAGUUCUUUGGAAUAGGACAUCAUAGAGGGUGAGAAUCCCGUAUUUGACCUUUACUUUCAACUUUGUGAUACACUUUCAAAGAGUCGGAUUGUUUGGGAAUGCAGUCCAAAAUGGGUGGUAAAUUUCAAUCUAAAGCUAAAUAUUGGCGAGAGACCGAUAGCGAACAAGUACCGUGAGGGAAAGAUGAAAAGAACUUUGAAAAGAGAGUUAAACAGUACGUGAAAUUGUCAAAAGGGAAGCGUUUGACACCAGUGUUGUUUUUCUGAAAAUCAAUUAAAGAACUGUUUAUGCUAAGUUGUUUAGACUUUAUCAGCUAUCUGUUUAGUUUUGAGCUUUUCUUUAAUGCACUUUUCAGUUAACAAGUCAACAUCAAUUUCUUUUGCUGUAAAAAAGCUUGAGGAAGGUGGCUUGAGAUUCGUCUUAAGUGUUUAUAGCCUCUUGCCUAUGCAGUCGGAGAGAUUGAGGUCUGCAGCGUAGAUCCUUCGGGGCUAAAUGCAUUUGUGCUAAGUUAUAGCAUUUUAUAGACAACUUGUUGACUAUGAUUUGUCUUGUAGCUUACUCGCUUAUGUUAUUUUACCUACGCUUAGGAUGUUGAGCGCAUGUCUCUCUCU